GUCUUUCUCUAUCUCUCUGUCAACCAUCCUUUCCCAGUCAUUGGGCUUGUCGCAUGCUGCUUUCCUUCAACCAUGAAGGACUGAGAGUAAUCAGUUUUACAAUCAGAAAAAACUUGAAAAGCCUAGACUUCAAGAUUUAUCAGUGAUAAAACACGGAAAUAUUCACUGAAUGCCAUGGUUUAACGUGCACACACUCUUCCAUUGUCUUCCAGUGUCGAAGAAACCAGCCUUCUCUCAGAAAUUGUGGAGUCUCUUCUGUAGAGGUAUUGAUUAUAUUCCUUUGGUUGUGGAUCGAAUUGGCAAGGAGCAAAUUUAAUUAACUUGAUUAUUAAUAGCAAGAGGUACGGAAGUAUAUUCUUUUAACUCUUUUAUUAAUAUCAUACAAAUGUUAGAGGAGUUUGAAUAUCUUAAAUAUUCAUCCAUAGAGAAGUAGGUUCUGAGAUUAAAAUUGUGUGCUGCGGUGAUAACGGAAGGUUGAAAUUUUGUGUGUCUUAGAGAAGUAGGUUCUGGAAAAUUUGUUUGUGUGUUGCGAUGAUAUAAGGAUGAAAACUUAUUGUGUGUUGUUUGAAUUUUUUUACUUGGUAUUGAUAGAUGGUUAGGUAAGCUUUUAAUUUUACUUAGUGGUUGGCAUAUUAAUUUUAUUUUUGUUAAUAAUCAAUUGUUGACAUAUAAAGCUAAAAGUACUAGUAGACUAUUCCCAUAAGAAUGAUUACUUUAAUAAAUUUAUUAGCGUUUUAUUACUUCUAAGCUAGACAAAAGCUAAACAAAUUUAUCAAUAAGAACUAUAUUACUUUUAAGCUAGACAAAAGCUCAAUGAUUGAACAAAACACAAGAAGAUCCAAAAGAACA